GACAGAGGUUGCAAACGUUGUUCGGAAUUACUGGGCAUAAAGCGCACGUAGGCGGUUCGUUAAGUCAUGUGUGAAAUCCCUCGGCUCAACCGAGGAAUUGCGCCUGAUACUGGCGGGCUAGAGAUCGAUAGGGGUGAGUGGAACUCCAGGUGGAGCGGUGAAAUGGGUAGAUAUCUGGAGGAACACCGGUGGCGAAAGCGGCUCACUGGAUCGAUACUGACGCUGAGGUGCGAAAGCUAGGGUAGCAAACGGG
rnacentral:rRNA from 1 species